GCAUAACGCGAAGAACCUUACCUAGGCUUGACAUGCAUCUCUAAGCACGUGAAAGCGUGUGACCCUUCGGGGAAUUUGCACAGGUGCUGCAUGGCCGUCGUCAGCUCGUGUCGUGAGAUGUUGGGUUAAGUCCCGCAACGAGCGCAACCCUUGUGACUAGUUGCCAGCACGUUAUGGUGGGAACUCUAGUCAGACUGCCCAGAUCAACUGGGAGGAAGGUGGGGACGACGUCAGGUCAGUAUGGCCCUUACGCCUAGGGCUGCACACGUACUACAAUGCCCAGCACAAUGAGAACCGAGACCGCGAGGUGGAGGAAAUCUAAAAACUGGGCCCAGUUCGGAUUGGAGGCUGCAACUCGCCUCCAUGAAGUUGGAAUCGCUAGUAAUGGCGCAUCAUCUACGGCG
rnacentral:rRNA from 1 species